rnacentral:rRNA from 1 species
UAUCUCUGUAGAGUCUGCAUAUCAAUAAGCGGAGGAAAAGAAACUAACUAGGAUUCCCUUAGUAACGGCGAGUGAAGCGGGAAGAGCUCAAAUUUGGAAUCUUCAAGGUUUUACCUUGACGAAUUGUAGUUUAAAGAAGUGUUUUCUGUUGGUGUUUUGGUAAAAGUUCUUUGGAAUAGGACAUCAUAGAGGGUGAGAAUCCCGUAUUUGACCAUUACUUCCAGCGUUGUGAUACACUUUCAAAGAGUCGGAUUGUUUGGGAAUGCAGUCCAAAAUGGGUGGUAAAUUUCAUCUAAAGCUAAAUACUGGCGAGAGACCGAUAGCGAACAAGUACCGUGAGGGAAAGAUGAAAAGAACUUUGGAAAGAGAGUUAAACAGUACGUGAAAUUGUCAAAAGGGAAGCGUUUGACACCAGUGUUGUUUUCUCGAAAAUCAAUUAAAAAUGGCGGGAUUUUGUGUUGUAUUGACUUUAUCAGCUUUCUGCACUUUUUUCCUGUCUUUUUUAAUGCACUUUUCGUUUAACAAGUCAACAUCAAUUUCUUUUGUUGUAAAAGGGUCAUUGGAAGGUGGCUUUCUUUUCGGAGAAAGUGUUUAUAGCCUUUGGCCUCUGCAAUCGGAGAGACUGAGGUCUGCAGCGUAGAUCCUUCGGGGUUAGAUACAUUUGUGCUAAGUUAUAGCCUUUCAUAGACAACUUGUUGACUAUGAUCAGUCAUGUAGCUUACUCGCUUAUGCUAUUUUACCUACGCUUAGGAUGUUGAGUCAUCACACAUCUCU